UACGAAGGGGGCUAGCGUUGCUCGGAAUCACUGGGCGUAAAGGGCGCGUAGGCGGGCGGGCAAGUCAGGGGUGAAAUCCCACGGCUCAACCGUGGAAGUGCCUUUGAUACUGCCGGUCUGGAGGGAGGUAGGGGCGUGCGGAACUUCCGGUGGAGCGGUGAAAUGCGUAGAUAUCAUGAGGAAUACCAGAGGCGAAGGCGGCUACCUGGACAAUUGCUGACGCUCAGGCACGAAAGCGUGGGGAGCAAAAGGG
rnacentral:rRNA from 1 species